GAGACCCGUACCCACAGUUGCCAGCGGCUGCUCCGGCAGGCUGGGUACACUAUGGGGACCGCCUCUGCUAAAGAGGAGGAAGGAGCGGGCGACGGUAGGUCAGUAUGCCCCGAAUUCUCCGGGCUACACGCGGGCUACAAUGGAUGGGACAAUGGGCUCCGACACCGAAAGGUGAAGGCAAUCUCUUAAACCCAUUCUUAGUUCGGAUUGAGGGCUGAAACUCGCCCACAUGAAGCUGGAAUCCGUAGUAAUCGCGGAUCAACAUUCCGCGGUGAAUAU
rnacentral:rRNA from 1 species